rnacentral:rRNA from 1 species
GACGAACGCUGGCGGCGUGCCUAACACAUGCAAGUCGAACGGGGUACCCUUGACAGAGGCUUCGGCCAAUGGAUAGGAAUACCUAGUGGCGGACGGGUGAGUAACGCGUGAGCAAUCUGCCUUUAGGAGGGGGAUAACAGCUGGAAACAGCUGCUAAUACCGCAUGAAGUAUCGAGACGGCAUCGUCAUGAUACCAAAGGAGCAAUCCGCCUUUAGAUGAGCUCGCGUCCAAUUAGCUAGUUGGUGAGGUAACGGCCCACCAAGGCGACGAUUGGUAGCCGGACUGAGAGGUUGAACGGGCCACAUUGGGACUGAGACACGGGCCCAGACUCCUACGGGAGGCAGCAGUGGGGGAUAUUGCGCAAUGGGGGAAACCCUGACGCAGCAACGCCGCGUGAAGGAAGAAGGGUCUUCGGGAUUGUAAACUUUUGUCUUGUGGGAAGAUAAUGACGGUACCACAGGGAGGAAAGCUCCGGCUAAACUGCGUGCC